rnacentral:rRNA from 1 species
CCCAGGUCAGGCGGGACUACCCGCUGAGUUUAAGCAUAUCAAUAAGCUGGAAGGACUACAC